CCACGGGACACGUGAAACCCUGUGGGAAGCAGGAGGGACCACCCUCCAAGGCUAAAUACUACCUAGUGACCGAUAGCGUAUAGUACCGUGAGGGAAAGGGGAAAAGAACCCCGGGAGGGGAGUGAAAUAGAACCUGAAACCCUGCACUUACAAGCUGUGGAAGCACAUUUCUUGUGUGACCGCGUACUUUUUGUAGAACGGGCCAACGAGUUACGUUAAGUAGCAAGGUUAAGCACUUAAGGUGCGGAGCCGUAGCGAAAGCGAGUUUUAACUGAGCGUUCAGUUA
rnacentral:rRNA from 1 species